rnacentral:rRNA from 1 species
CAAGUCGAACGAGAGCGACCGGUGCUUGCACUGGUCAAUCUAGUGGCGAACGGGUGAGUAACACGUGGGUAACCUGCCCAUCAGAGGGGGAUAACAUCCGGAAACGGAUGCUAAAACCGCAUAGGUCUUCGAGCCGCAUGGCUUGAAGAGGAAAAGAGGCGCAAGCUUCUGCUGAUGGAUGGACCCGCGGUGCAUUAGCUAGUUGGUGAGGUAACGGCUCACCAAGGCCGUGAUGCAUAGCCGACCUGAGAGGGUGAUCGGCCACAUUGGGACUGAGACACGGCCCAAACUCCUACGGGAGGCAGCAGUAGGGAAUCUUCCGCAAUGGACGCAAGUCUGACGGAGCAACGCCGCGUGAGUGAAGAAGGUUUUCGGAUCGUAAAACUCUGUUGUUAGAGAAGAACAAGUGCUAGAGUAACUGUUAGCGCCUUGACGGUAUCUAACCAGAAAGCCACGGCUAACUACGUGCCAGCAGCCGCGGUAAUACGUAGGUGGCAAGCGUUGUCCGGAUUUAUUGGGCGUAAAGCGAGCGCAGGCGGUUCCUUAAGUCUGAUGUGAAAGCCCCCGGCUCAACCGGGGAGGGUCAUUGGAAACUGGGGAACUUGAGUGCAGAAGAGGAGAGUGGAAUUCCAUGUGUAGCGGUGAAAUGCGUAGAUAUAUGGAGGAACACCAGUG